AUGUCUGGCUCGUUUAUCGUCUUUAUGUGGUGCAAGCAGUGCUGCUAGUGCUAGAAUCCGAAGCUGGAAUUUAGCUUUGGAGUUAUUUUGAGCUAAUUUGGACUGGGCCGGCCGAGUAAAUUGAGAUUGCUGUCAAGAUUUUUCAGCUACAUGUGUUUCUUUUGUACAUGUUUGUUCAGUAAUCUGCCUUGUUUUCAGAUGGGAUUGCGUCUCUAUGGAGCUUUAUCUUCUGUUGCAAAGUGCAGGGUUAUCUAAUACUGAUGUGAACUCAUUUUCCAGGUAUUGAAAGCAAAGACCCUACCUACCAGGAUUUUGAAGGUUGACCAGCAAAAGACACAUCAUAAUUGUUGUUCUUUGAGGAGCAGAUCGGCAUUGGCAUUGCAUCAGGAAUCAGAGUGGAUUGUGAACGAGGUGCAUCGGCCUGGAUAAACGGCUCGGCGAGGACCCCCUUGGCAGGCAGGCAGACAGACCAUCAUAACAAGACAAGCAGACUACAGCUGAUUACAAGUUUCACCCUAGGGGUAGGGACAAUAAUGGAAGCAGAGGAUCUAUCCACACAAGAGGUAGCUGAGAGAGAGACAGACGGACAGAGAGAGACAUAGAAAGAAGGAUGGAAAGAUAGAAAGAGAUGGAGUGAGAGAAAGGAAGAGAUCCACUUACUCCUUUUUACUUGCCAUCCACCCUCGGGAUGCAAUCUAAAUAUAUCGCCAUGACAACCAAUAAAAGAAAACGUCACAAAAGAACUCAGAGUGGCCACUGAAAGCCAUUUUAUUGUGAUGGAACCAUGUCGGGGAUUAGCAAACGGAGUAACACUGUCGAAAUUGGGGCAAGGUAUUAUUCUGCUAACUAGCUACGACAGUAUGAGCUCUUCAUUUUUUUUUCAAACUCCAUAACUGCCAUGAGAAUAUGAGAAAGAGAGCGAGGGAGGGGUGGGGAGGAAUAGAUAGACAUUGAAAAAUGGGAUCAUAGUUCACCUCAGGAGAUUUUGGGUCUAUUCUGGUAAAUUAUGACAUCAUUCUCUUCAUUAUUUACAUCGUUUUCUCAGCAUCGUCAGAUUUAGGCUGAUGAACUUGUUUGGCUAGCUGGAGGGUAGAAUCAGAACCACUGUGUUCAAAUGACAUCCCAAAACUGUCAAUGAGGACAGCUUGCUCAAGCAAAACUAGCAAAAUUAUCAAGAACAGCAUAUUUUGAUUUCCCACUAUCAUAUACUGUACAUUGUUUGAUUGAUUUUUCUCCAGGCAACUGGCUAAUAUUACAAGUGAGAUUUGUUUCAUUGGAUUCAAUUGUGAAACGAGUUAUUCUUGGUAAUCAUAGUCCCAAAUAUGUUGCGUACUCGAUAGUCAUUUCUUCAAGCCUCUUUGUUGAU